GUCGAGGAAAGUCCGGACUUCACAGAGCAGGGUGAUUGCUAACGGCAAUCCGAGAUGACUCGCGGGAAAGUGCCACAGAAAACAGACCGCCAUCCUCGUGGUGGCAAGGGUGAAACGGUGCGGUAAGAGCGCACCAGCAUUCCGGGUGACCGGGGUGGCUAGGCAAACCCCACCCGAAGCAAGGCCAAGAAGGCCGCACCGAAAGUGCGGCCGCGCAGGCGCUUGAGGGUUGCUCGCCCGAGCCUGCGGGUAGGCCGCUCGAGGCACCCGGUAACGGUGUGUCCAGAUGGAUGGUCGCCGCCGUGCC
rnacentral:misc_RNA from 1 species